AAAAAAAAAAUCAUAUGAAGAAUUGUGAUGCUGUACUUGUGAAGUUACUUUCCAACAUUUCUCUAGAUCAGAUUAGAUGUGUUGUACUCCUUUUUUUAUCUCUUAUUUUGACCUUUUCCAUUAUUAAUACUAUUCCUUUUAAUAUCGAACAAAAAUGGCCUAAACUUGAUUCAAAUUCAGUUGGUACUUGGUGGUGUUUUUAAUUUUAUCUUCAUUUGUUCUGUUUGUUAUCAUCUUUGUCAUCACAACCUAACAGGAAUGCCUGAUCUCUUGUGAUGAGCAUAUAGGAUAUGCUGUUUAAGCUUAAUGUGGUCAUCAUAUGCCUAUAUUUUUACCAGGUGAAAGCUGUUGCAGAGGAA
rnacentral:misc_RNA from 1 species